GACGAACGCUGGCGGCGUGCUUAACACAUGCAAGUGGAGCGACGAACCGGGCUUCGGCCCGGGGCAAAGCCGCGAACGGGUGAGUAACACGUGGGUAACCUGCCCCGAUGAUUGGGACAACCUCGGGAAACCGAGGCUAAUACCAAAUGUGCUUGUACCCCUCGAGGGUGUAAGGAAAGGAAGCUUCGGCCUCCGCAUUGGGAUGGGCCCGCGGCGCAUUAGCUCGUUGGUGGGGUAACGCCUACCAAGGCUUCGAUGCGUAGCUGGUCUGAGAGGACGAUCAGCCACACUGGGACUGAGACACGGCCCAGACUCUACGGGAGGCAGCAGUGGGGAAUCUUGCGCAAUGCGCGAAAGCGUGACGCAGCAACGCCGCGUG
rnacentral:rRNA from 1 species